GGGGUGAGUAGCUCAUAAUAUGGGUUCCGUGACGCGAGAGAGGAACUCAUGAUUUCUAUGGUAGAGCACCUCGCAAGAGGAGGCUGCCGGUUCGAGUCCGGCCCACCCCA
rnacentral:tRNA from 1 species